rnacentral:rRNA from 1 species
GGAUAACUCCGGGAAACCGGGGCUAAUACCGGAUAACAUUUUGAACCGCAUGGUUCGAAAUUGAAAGGCGGCUUCGGCUGUCACUUAUGGAUGGACCCGCGUCGCAUUAGCUAGUUGGUGAGGUAACGGCUCACCAAGGCAACGAUGCGUAGCCGACCUGAGAGGGUGAUCGGCCACACUGGGACUGAGACACGGCCCAGACUCCUACGGGAGGCAGCAGUAGGGAAUCUUCCGCAAUGGACGAAAGUCUGACGGAGCAACGCCGCGUGAGUGAUGAAGGCUUUCGGGUCGUAAAACUCUGUUGUUAGGGAAGAACAAGUGCUAGUUGAAUAAGCUGGCACCUUGACGGUACCUAACCAGAAAGCCACGGCUAACUACGUGCCAGCAGCCGCGGUAAUACGUAGGUGGCAAGCGUUAUCCGGAAUUAUUGGGCGUAAAGCGCG